rnacentral:rRNA from 1 species
GGAAGAUGACCAGGUUGAUAGGUCUGAGGUGGAAGUGUGGUGACACAUGGAGCUGACAGAUACUAAUCGUUCGAGGACUUAACCAA